CCACUGGGUCCUCUAGGACCACUAGGUCCUCCUGGUCCAGAAGGCCCAGAUGGGAAUGGGCCACUUGGUCCUGCGGGUCCACUCGGACCACUUGGUCCUCUAGGUCCACUUGGUCCUU
rnacentral:lncRNA from 1 species